rnacentral:rRNA from 1 species
AUGAGCAGAGAUUCGUUGCUUCAUUUGCUCGAGCAGACUACCACCCAUCUCAGCCACCGGCGGCGACCUCAGAUGGGCGCACGGGCGCGCCGCGCCGCCCACCACCGCGCUCGCCUCCGCCUCCGCCACUGCCACCUUCUCCUCCUCCUCCCGCUGCUGCUCCUCUUCCUCCUCCCGCCCCUCUUCGCGCUCCUCCUCCGCCGCGCCAACUCCCUGGGCCGCCAGUGCCUACCCCCCGCCGCAGGGCGCCGCCCCCUCGCCGGGCAGCGGCUCAGCUUCUCUAUCGUCACGCUCUCCGACGAGGGCCUGUCGGGCCGAGGAGUGCGGGGGCGGUCUUUCCGCGGCGUGCUGGCGGCCACCGCGCGGAACAAGCGCGCCUACGCGGCCGCGCACGGGUAUGGCCUCGCCGCGCUGCCCCCCGGCGCGGUCGACCCCGGCCGCCCGCCCGCCUGGAGCAAGGUCCUCGCCCUCCGCGCCCGCCUGCGCCGCCACCACUGGCUCUUCUGGAACGACGCGGACACGCUGGUUACCAACCCUGACAUCUCGUUGGAGGAGAUUUUGUUCUCCGUGAUUGGGCAUAGUGAUUUUGAUGCAUCGCCUGAUCUCAUUCUGACAGAGGAUAUCAAUGGGGUUAAUGCCGGACUGUUCUUCAUAAGGAGGUCGAAAUGGAGUGAGAGAUUUUUGGAUACAUGGUGGAACCAUACAUCAUUUGUACAAUUUGGUUCCACAAAAAGUGGGGAUAAUGCAGCACUGAAGCAUAUCGUGGAUCACUUGUCACCUGAAGAAACACAAGCACACGUCCGCAUAGCAAAAAUGCAGUGCCUCUUCAAUUCAUACCCUUGGGUUGCUACAUGGAAAUCAGUUCACCGCCUGAUCUUCCACCCGUCCACUACAUGGAAAGGGGCUUAUUCAGAUGGAGAUUUCAUGGUCCAUUUUGCCGGCCUAAAUGACAAGCGAGGCUGGACAUCAAGAAUUCUUAGAGAGAUAACUCACCGAUGA